rnacentral:rRNA from 1 species
GAGACGCUCAACAGCGAAGGCACUUGCCAAGAGUGUUUUCAUUAAUCAAGAACGAAAGUCAGAGGUUCGAAGGCGAUUAGAUACCGCUUUAGUUCUGACCGUAAACGUUGCCAACUGUCGAUCCGCUUGUGGAUUUUUUUCGUGAGCGGGGAGAUUCCCGGAAACGAAAGUUUUUCGGUUCCGGGGGAAGUAUGGUUGCAAAACUGAAACUUAAAGGAAUUGACGGAAGGGCACCACCAGGAGUGGAGCUUGCGGCUUAAUUUGACUCAACACGGGAAAUCUCACCCGGCCAGUACAUUAUAAGGAUUGACAGAUUGAAAGCUCUUUCAUGAUUCAAUGAAUGGUGGUGCAUGGCCGUUCUUAGUUCGUGGAUUGAUUUGUCUGGUUUAUUCCGAUAACGAGCGAGACUUUGACUAUUAAAUAGUGGCUUUCUUUUUUCGAAUGGAAAGUAUCACUUCUUAAAAGAAUUUGGAGCUUCCAGCUUCAAGAGAUUGAGCAAUAACAGGUCUGUGAUGCCCUUAGAUGUUCGGGGCCGCACGCGUGCUACAAUGAUGGUAACAGCGUGAUUGUCCUUUUCCGUGAGGAAUUGGCAAACAGUUGAGAUAUUAUUAUGGCUGGAAUUGAGAUUUGAAAUUUUCUCUCAUGAACGAGGAAUUCCAAGUAAGUGCGAGUCAUCAACUCGCAUUGAUUACGUCCCUGCCCUUUGUACACACCGCCCGUCGCUGCCCGGGACUGGGUUAUCUCGAGAAAACUAGGGAUUGUUGGGGGUUUUGUGUUUCGGCACAGGCUCUAAUGAGAACGAGUUUAAUCGCGGUGGCCUGAACCGGGCAAAA